UGCGAGCGUUAAUCGGAAGUUACUGGGCGUAAAGACGCAUGCAGGCGGCCUGUUAAGUCAGAUGUGAAAGACCCGGGGCGUUAACCUCGGAAUUGCAUUUGUAAACUAGGCAGGCUAGAGUCUUGUAGAGGGGGGGUAGGAAGUUUACAGGUGUAGCGGUGAAAUGCGUAGAGAUCUGAAGGAAUACCAGUGGCGAAGGCGGCCCCCCUCGGACAAAGACUGACGCUCAGAUGCGAAAGCGUGGGGGAGCAAACAGGAUUAGAUACCCCUGGUAG
rnacentral:rRNA from 1 species